AUGGGAGGCGGUGGCACUCGGCGACGCGGCGGUGAACGCGCGGAAGGACAAGACGGCGUGCGCGUUGUUACUCGGGGCUUGCCGGAGGACAUGCUGCUGCAGGUGGCGAUGAAGCUCACCGCCAGGAAGGUAUGGGACUCCCUGAAGGUGAGGUUCGUCGGCGCCGAUCGGGUCCGCGCGGCGAGGCUGGGGACGCUGCACGGCGAGUUCGACCGCCUGAAGAUGGCGGACGGCGAGGAGCUCGACGUGUACGGCGGUAGGCUCGCGGCGAUGGCGGCGAGGUACGCCAACCUCGGGGAGACGCUGGGCGACGCGGCGCUCGUCAAGAAGCUGCUGGAUACGGUGCCGGAUCGGCUCUUCCCCAUCGUCGCCGGCAUCGAGCAGUUCCACGACGUGACGACGAUGGCGUUCGACGAAGCGCUCGGGCGGCUGCGCGCGUUCGACGAGCGAGUUCGGCGUCGACGGCAGGACGGCGGCGAGCGGGCUGACAGCCAGCUCAUGUACACGGCAGCGCAAUGGCGGGAGAGGGAGCGGCAGCGCGGCGGCGCUCGGGAUGACGACGACGGCAGGAGCGUGGCGUUAGGAGGACGAAGACGCCGCGGCCGGUGCUACAACUGCGGCGUGCGCAGCCACUUCUCGAGGGAGUGCACGAAGCCGAAGAAGGAGAAGAACGAGCAGUCUCUCCUCGCCGGCAUCGAGGCCGAGGGGCCGGCACUCCUGUAG
rnacentral:rRNA from 1 species